rnacentral:rRNA from 1 species
CCUACGGGGGGCAGCAGUAGGGAAUUUUGCGCAAUGGGCGAAAGCCUGACGCAGCAACGCCGCGUGAUUGAUUAAGCCCUUCGGGGUGUAAAGAUCUGUCAGUGGGGACGAAACUUGACGGUACCCACAGAGGAAGCACCGGCUAACUCCGUGCCAGCAGCCGCGGUAAUACGGAGGGUGCAAGCGGUGUCCGGAAUCAUUGGGCGUAAAGAGGUCGUAGGUGGCAUAUUAAGUCUGGUGUUAAAUGCAGAAGCUCAACUUCUGUUCGGCACUGGAUACUGGUAAGCUUGAAUGCGGUAGAGGUAUAGGGAAUGCCUGGUGUAGCGGUGAAAUGCGUAGAUAUCAGGAGGAACAUCGAUGGCGUAGGCACUUUACUGGGGCUUAAUUGACACUGAGGCACGAAAGCCGGGGUAGCGAAUGGGAUUAGAUACCCUUGUAGUC